rnacentral:misc_RNA from 1 species
UUUAUUAUUUAAUAUUUGCUCAGACAUCACUAAUAAAUAGAAUUUGAAUAAACCUCUGGCGGGCGCGAGCCGCCCCCAAGCAAUAAAACCUGGGGCCGGCAUGAGCCGUAUAGCCUACUCAAGGCCCGCCAAAGCAACAAAGGUAUGGUUAACAUGGGGUUGAGAAACACGACGACCGCCGAGCAAGCGCAUGGACUCGAACGACACCCGCCGCUGGGGGCUAGGCCCCCGGAACUCAAUAAUGAUCCUUCCGCAGGUUCACCUACGGAAA